rnacentral:rRNA from 1 species
GAUGAACGCUAGCUACAGGCUUAACACAUGCAAGUCGAGGGGCAGCAUGGUCUUAGCUUGCUAAGGCCGAUGGCGACCGGCGCACGGGUGAGUAACACGUAUCCAACCUGCCGUCUACUCUUGGACAGCCUUCUGAAAGGAAGAUUAAUACAAGAUGGCAUCAUGAGUCCGCAUGUUCACAUGAUUAAAGGUAUUCCGGUAGACGAUGGGGAUGCGUUCCAUUAGAUAGUAGGCGGGGUAACGGCCCACCUAGUCUUCGAUGGAUAGGGGUUCUGAGAGGAAGGUCCCCCACAUUGGAACUGAGACACGGUCCAAACUCCUACGGGAGGCAGCAGUGAGGAAUAUUGGUCAAUGGGCGAGAGCCUGAACCAGCCAAGUAGCGUGAAGGAGGACUGCCCUAUGGGUGGUAAACUUCUUUUAUAAAGGAAUAAAGUCGGGUAUGGAUACCCGUUUGCAUGUACUUUAUGAAUAAGGAUCGGCUAACUCCGUG